AGCCAGACUCCUACGGGAGGCAGCAGUGAGGAAUAUUGGUCAAUGGCCGGAAGGCUGAACCAGCCAUGCCGCGUGAAGGUCAGUGCCCUAUGGGCGUUAAACUUCUUUUGUGCGGGAGCAAUAAUGGUCACGUGUGGCCGGACGAGAGUACCGUACGAAUAAGCAUCGGCUAACUCCGUGCCAGCAGCCGCGGUAAUACGUAGGGAGCGAGCGUUGUCCGGAAUUACUGGGUGUAAAGGGAGCGUAGGCGGGCUUGUAAGUUGAAUGUCUAAUCCACCGGCUCAACCGGUGAUCGCGUUCAAAACUGCAGGUCUUGAGUGAAGUAGAGGCAGGCGGAAUUCCUAGUGUAGCGGUGAAAUGCGUAGAUAUUAGGAGGAACACCAGUGGCGAAGGCGGCCUGCUGGGCUUUAACUGACGCUGAGGCUCGAAAGCGUGGGGAGCAAACAGGAUUAGAUACCCCGGUAGUU
rnacentral:rRNA from 1 species